AUCGCUUCUCGGCCUUUUGGCUAAGAUCAAGUGUCGUAUCUGUUCUUAUCAGUUUCAUAUCUGAUACGUCCUCUGUCAAGACUGGAAAUGCUAAUCACUUUGGCAUGUUAGCAGGAUGAGCAGAGUCCUGUCCUCCUUAAUCAGUUGUUGCUGUAUUAUUGGGAGGAAUUACCA
rnacentral:snRNA from 1 species